rnacentral:rRNA from 1 species
AGAGUUUGAUCAUGGCUCAGGAUGAACGCUAGCGGUAGGCUUAACACAUGCAAGUCGUGGGGUAACGAUGGUGCUUGCACCAGGCGACGACCGGCGGACGGGUGAGUAACACGUAUGCAACCUACCUUUAACUGGAGGAUAGCUCCGAGAAAUCGGAAUUAAUACUCCAUAAUAUCUAUUUAUCGCAUGAUUUUUAGAUUAAAGCUUCGGCGGUUAAAGAUGGGCAUGCGGGACAUUAGCUUGUUGGUGAGGUAACGGCUCACCAAGGCAACGAUGUCUAUGGGGUCUUAAAGGAUGGUCCCACACACUGGUACUGAGACACGGACCAGACUCCUACGGGAGGCAGCAGUGAGGAAUAUUGGGCAAUGGGCGAAAGCCUGACCCAGCCAUACCGCGUGCAGGAUGACGGCUCUAUGAGUUGUAAACUGCUUUUGUACAGGAAGAAAAAAAUCUACGUGUAGAUAACUGACGGUACUGUACGAAUAAGGAUCGGCUAACUCCGUGCCAGCAGCCGCGGUAAUACGGAGGAUCCAGGCGUUAUCCGGAUUUAUUAGGUUUAAAGGGUACGUAGGCGGAAAAAUAAGUCAGUGGUGAAAUCCUGCAGCUCAACUGUAGAACUGCCAUUGAAACUAUUUUUCUUGAGUAUAGUUGAGGUGGGCGGAAUGUGUCAUGUAGCGGUGAAAUGCUUAGAUAUGACACAGAACACCGAUUGCGUAGGCAGCUCACUAAACUAUUACUGACGCUGAGGUACGAAAGCGUGGGGAGCGAACAGGAUUAAAUACCCUGGUAGUCCACGCUGUAAACGAUGAUUACUC